AGGAUUAAAAUUAUUUUCAUUACUAUUGCGCUCCUUUACAUUUUUAAAAAGUUUGCUUAUUAAUUAUUAUUCAAUUAUAAUGGGCAAAAAAUUCAAUUUCAAACAAAAUAAUUUAAACCGUAACGUGUCUACUAAAAUUAAACUCAUGCUUCUAUUCUCGGAUUAGAAUUAAAGGAUAAAGAAUUUUAUAAAAUAAAAAAAUUAAAACUAAAAUUUAAAAAUAUAAAACGUUAAUUUACGUAAUUAGGUAAAACGUUAUUUCAAUGUAUUUUAUGAUAAUUUCAUUUUUACUGUCUUAAAAUAAGAAAAUUUUAUCAAUAAAGGUUUACUUUCUAGAAGUAGUAAUUUUCUUCUAUUGCGCUACUGGUAACGACACUACAUUUUUUUUCAAAAAUUAAAGUAAAUUUUUAAUAAUUAAUAGAAAAAUUUUCUAAUAAAAAUAUUAAAAAUAUACGGUUCUUUACAAAAUUAUAUAAUUUAUAUGUGGAUUAAGUCAAAACGUAAUUAUAAUUACAUGAAUAAAAUGUGAAGAUCUCUUUAAAGACUUUUGUGACGCGGCAAUCUUUUCUUAUUUUUGACAUCUGCAUUCAUAAUUACAAAAAAAUUUAAUAACAGAUCCAAUAUGGCGACUAAAAUAAUUAUUAUCAAAAGGAAUGCUAAAGUCUGAUUUUAAUAAAAUUUUUUUAUUUUCUUUUUAAUUUUCGACUUCAGAUUUGCCAUCAGUGACUUCAAAACCCCCUCUUCUCUGUAACAAAAUUCAACAAAAUAUACUUAACAGAAUAAUUUGCGAAACAAAAGAUUAAAUGCGUUCCAAAUCGGGAGCUAACUCUGUUCGCACAAAGUUAUAUCGACCUGCAUCGCGUCUUUGCGGUGUUCCAGUUUCGCGCUAUAUACAUACAUACAUACAGAUAAUUCGCUGUAACAUGUGGAUUUACUCAUCACUUCGAUAUUUCGAAAUAAGAGAGCCAGGACGUUCCCAGAUGUUCCCUCUCUCGGGUUCCCCGGGCAUGUCAAAUUAACCGUGCCGUCGGAAGCUACCGAGUUUCGGGCACUACAAACUUCCUCUAAUAAAUGUAGAAUACGCCGCUAAUUCGCAUCGGUGACUUAAGAACAAAGAGACCCGCUUGCCUCCUAAUAGCGCAUAUGCAUACGGUAUUAUACAGGUCUGAUUUCCAGCACGGCGUGUUCUAUCCUAAAAAUCAGCUCAGAUUUUUGAUAGAUAUGUAUCGCUUAAAUUAUCAAAAAUUAUUCUAUUCAAGUUUCACUUUUUUAUUUCUGAGAAGAAAUAGAUUUACAUCUUUUACAAAACACUUUUACAUAACUAAAAGAUUAUUCAACUUUUUAGGAAUAUUUGAAAAGUGACUGAACAAUGAUUAAUAAUUUAAACAUUAAAAUAAUUAAAAUUGUUUUAACUUUUUUAACUUCCAGAGUUGGUUAUCAAAAAAAAAGGAAAAAGUGUUUCAUAAGUUUUUUGGCAAUUCAGAAAGAUUUCAUAGAUUUUUAGACCAUAAUGAAAGUAAUAAAAAAUAAAUAACUAAUAAGUAAAAAAAGAAGUCAUAAAGCUAAGGGCUCAGAAAUAAAAAAUUAAAAUAAACAUGAAAUAAAAAGAAAACAAAAAUGUGUGUAUUGAAAAAUAUAUGCAGUCUUUUCACAUCCACGUCGGAAGAUACGUAAAGAAAAACACAAUUAAAUAUGAAAUAAAUAAAAACAUACUUCAAUUUAAACAAUUAAACUUUUUAUUCCAACUUUAGCUUUCAAUAUUAUUCAUCGAACACAAUGUAAAUUUUUGUAUGUUUUCCAACUGCUAUAGAUAAUUCCUGAUUUUUUUUAUUUUUUCACAUAAAGAGAAAGAAAACUAAUAAAAUAAUAAAUAAAAAGAGAAAAUAAAGUUAAAGACAGAAAUAUAGAACAAUCAAAAUCAAAAUCUAAAUAAAUAAAAAGCAAACAAAAAAUUGUAUAUUGAAGAAUUAAUCUACAGUUUCUCUUUUAUACAUUUUUUUUAAAUUAUACAUAUAAUCAUAAGUCGUUUAACUAACAUGUAAUCAUUUAAUCAUAGACAUUUUUAACACUAGAAUAAGAAUAAAUUAUUUUUUAUACUUUUCUGAAUGCUGAAUAUGGUUUCCAAAUUGUUUCAUGACAUCCCAAUUUUAAAAAAUUUGCAAUUAUAAAGUAGCCUAAAAAAGUUUUUUUCACGUAUCUUAUCAUAUUAUAACGAUAUGUGAUGUGUUAGAAAAGUUUUAUUAGAAUCAAUAUUAAGUAUGCUGCUAAAAUUUUUAAUCCUCAAAAGGAAUUUUAUGUGUCGGUUAAUAACUAAAGUUAAGAAGAUAUUCGUGGUUAAAAAUAAAAUAAUAAAAAAAAGUACAUAAAAAAUCCCUAUACAUGUUUGUUUCUAAAUAAAUAUCAUUUUAUCUUUAUCGGUUAAUGACUAUAUACUAAUUUCAUCGUUUUAAAUUUAUUAAUUUUAAUAUUAGAUACAUACUUAGUAUCACACAUGACAAACAUGACAUAUAUAUUAUAUCAAUUUUGGCAAAAAUUAAGAUAUUUCUUAAUUUUGAUAUUCGAUAUUGAAUCUAUUUGGAAUUUGUCAUUUUGACAUCGGAUUUAUUCAACAAUAUAAAAAAACCUUUCCGUUUAAAUAUAGUUAGAAGUUAUUUAAUCGUCAGUGAUCGAACUGAGAACUUUUUCCUACAAUAAAUUCCUGAUUUUAUCAUGAAUAUCUUAUUAAUCGUAGCCGACACAAAAAUUCCUUUUGAGGGUUGAAAAUUAAGAUUAACUACAUAACUUUGAUUGCAAUAAAAUUUCUCCAACAUAUCACAUAUCAUAAUUAUAAUAUGACAAAGUGGAAGUAGCCUUUUUUGCAAUUUCAAUUUUACAAAAUUAUAACACGAUGGAGCAAUUUGAUAACCAAAUUCAGCAUCUACUAAAAAACUAAAGAAAAAAUUAUAUCUCAUUUUGGUAUUUCUUUCUUUAAUUACGUUAACAAAACUUUUCAUCUUCUCCAACAUUAUUCAUCAAAGAAAAAGAAAAAAGAAUUUUCUUAUGUUUUCUGUAGCAUCUGUAAGCAAUUUAGGAAAUUUUCUGGAUCCUUCGAUUUUCGCGCAGGAAGAAACUAAUAAGAAAAGUCAUGAAACUAAGUACUUACAUCCAUACAACGAGAGUAAUGGAAAAAUCGAAAUAAAUAUAAAGUAAAAGGAAAUAUGAUAUUUAUGCAAAAAAAAAAUAAAUCUAUGACCCCUCCUUUUGUCUACGUUCGUAGGACAUAAAGAGACGAUAAUUAGAAACAAAGAAAAUAAAAAAUGAGAUAUAAGAUUACAAAGAUUACAAAGAUGGCACGAUUCUACAUUGCUUAUAUUAUAUUAAUAUAAUGCUUAUAUUAUAUUAAAUCCCCCGUUAACGCGCCAGCACACAAAUGCAUUUUCGAUUUAGCGAUACUUUAUUAGACUUACAGUGUCAGUAUGCGAGUCACAUUAAUAAAAUACGAUGUUUAUUGGAAAGAGAAAGCGAACUUUGUUUGUCGGUUCCGGGGGGAAAUUUACUAGCGCGACGAGGAGGAAAAGAGCGUGUCGCGGUUUUCCACGUCGUGUUCGCGAAAUCUAUUCGGCUGCAACGAGCGGGACGUGUCGUUGCUCGGGUCGCCACAGAGGUUGGUAGGUGCUGAACGCUUAGCUUGAUAUUGAUCGACCUUCUCCGCCGCCCUACUCCCUUCGCUGCUCGCGCCGCGUGGCCCCGCCGCCGCCGAGCCGCCACAUCUCCACGCAAAGCAACGUGCCGGAGUGACGUAAUGUCGCGGAGGGGGCAACGAAACAACCCUCUCUCUCUCUCUCUCUCUCUCUCUCUCUCUCUCUCUCUCCCCUUCGCUACUCCUACCAUCGGCACAUCCCGAUUUUUGCCCCCUGCCAGUGUAACCCAUCCCUUCGACGAGCGCCGACGGGCGUGCAGCAACAAUUUGUCACUCAAAAAUUGCUCCCCGGAGAAAAAAAGCAGACAAGUCGCGGGCGCAAAGAAGAAGUAAGGGGAAAGUCCAGGAAAAUAAAAAAAUCUCGAGGAACGGUUUUGCGAUAUCGCGCAUCUCGCGUGGGCAAAGAGGAGCCUUACAACUAGGAAAGAUUUCCACGAAGACUGAAUAAUUAGCGAAAAGGAAUUCUCAGAAGUUAAACUUAUGCAUAUACAGCGACAUUUUUUAUUUAUACAUCUUCGCGUUUUACGCGGGUGAAGAGUGUUGGGAAGAUUUACGGGGUGAGAGGAAAUCCACCCAUCGUCACCCUUUGAGCACAAACGGUGUCGCGCUAUGGUAUCGCUACUAACCAAAACAAUUUAGGAUAUGAAAACAAUAAAUUCCAUAAAAACAAUGUCUAUUCAUAUUUUUAUUUAUAAAUCUUUUUUUUAUACAAGAGUGUUUUCCAUGUUUCAUUUGAUGAACGAUUUCUACGUGGUAAAUACAGUCUGUUUGAUAAACGUGCCCAGCAAAACUUUUACCUGGAAACCAUUACACACUAACUCUCUCUCUCUCUCUCUCUCUCUCUCUCUCUCUCUCUCUCUCUCUCUCUCUCUCUCUCUCUCUCUCUCUCUUUCUCGUUCUCUGGAAAAUUCCAACAGAAACAAGUACAGAGAGUCUUCCCUAAGAUGCUUUGUAAAAAAAGCUUCAAUUAUUCAAUCUUAGUGACAGAAGGAUAUAUUUCAUAUUUAAGAAAUGUCUACUGUUCAAAAAAUAUAUCAAAAAACAAAUUAUUAGGUGCGAAAAAAUUUAAAUCACGAUUGAAAAAAUGUAAUUUUUUCUGACAAAACUUUCUUUACUUAAAUAGACAUUUUAUUGGUGCCAAUAAUAGCAACAAAGUGUUAUAUUUGAAAAAAACUAAGGAAAAAAGAAAAGGAGGGGAAGAGAGUUGUAGCUUAAAAAUAAAAGUUUUAUGUUGCUUUUACGAAAAGUCCUUUUACAUAAUUCUAUGUAACGUUUUGGCAUUUAAUUUAAUUUGAACAUGAGAUAGUAAAUGUGAGCGGUUCACUAUCAAACGAUGCUGACAAAAUAAAAAAUGUGCAUGUAUCAAAUUACGAUACACACUAAACUCAUUACGCAUUAACGUAAAUAAUUUAGAAAAAAUAUUGCAUUUCCCUUAUCAAAGAUAAAAACCGAGAUAAUUAAACAUUCUAAUUAUUUAGAACAAAAUAUUAUAAAACCAUUUCUUUAUUUAGAUAAUUAUCUAAGUAAUUCUAAAUAAUUUUAUUCUAGAGAACAGAUUAUCUAAUGAUUUUAAUAGAUAACGGCACACUGAUAAUGAGAACAAAAGGAAUAAAUUUUACAUUGCGUGUACCUUUCAUCCCUUUCAAAAUCGGCGACAAAACUGCACUCGAAAACUGCACUCAAAAAUGUUUAUUUCGCAGCGUCGUCUCGUUAACCGGGCAUAAUCAGGAGAAUGGCGGGGCUCCGGUACGCCGGCGAAUAAUUAGAGAAACAUCGCCGCGGAAAUUAGCGCGACAGCGAUAUUUAAUUAGCAUGCGACACAGACCGCCCCCUUCGAAGGAGGGGCUGGAGGAGUUGGAGGGGUUUGCUGCCGAAUAUUGCACGGUAAAGGACAACCCCUUCCCGCGACCUGAAACCGGAUGCAACAUCAAAGGCAGCACUCCCGGGUAUCCUAUGGGAAUUCCGGGGUGAGUGAAGAUGGACCGGGGGCGGGCGUGAGACAGGGAUGCAACAGCUUCGCCGCACGUUUGUUAAUUAACGCUAAUUAAUUAAGGAGUCCCACUGCGUACGGGCGCAUCUACACUACAAGCCCUUUCUAGCUAAGCGCUAAAUCGAGUUUCGACCACAUUUUCGCCAGUUUCUCAUUCUUUCUUUUUUCUUCUUUCUCCUUUUUUCAAGGAAGAGCUAUUCAAGCUCACAUGAUAGUUUCGCGCAAUCAUAAAUGAGCAGUAUUACGUGGAGAACUUUAAGCUCUUACGAAGAUUAAUAGAUAACAAAAAUUGUAGGUUUUAGCUUUGAGUUUAAAUUUUAUUCUAGAGAUAUAUUCUAUAGAGAUCGUCAAUAUAAGCCUGAUAUUAGUCUCCAAACCCCCUUUCUCGAGAAAGGAACUAAAUAUUACACUGUAUUAAUACUAAUAAAAACAUAUUUUGCCAAGAUAAUUGAAGGAAUAACAUUCAAUUUAUACACAUUUAUGUGUGACUUUUUUCUACAUAAAAUCUAUUAAAAACGAAUCUAAUUUCAUCUAACUUUUAUGUAUAUACAUAUAUUGUUGCUCGCCUUGCGGAGCAGCACAAGGUAUUUGUAUAAUCGUCAAAAAAAUGUUUUAUAUCAAAAUGAAAAUCUUCUAAGAAUCAUAUUCAUUAUUUUGCAAAUAUUUUGUACAAAUAACUCAUACGUUAAAAGAAAAAAAUAAGAAAAAGUAGUCUAUUAUGCCAAUUUUGGGACCCAAUUUCUCAGACAUUCAUUUUUGAUAACUUUGCAAAAACGUUAAUUAUUGUAAAAUAUGAAACAGUGUUAUAAAAACAGCUAUAUCAUUUGAUAGACACCUUCCAGUUUAUAUUUGUUUUCAAAGUUUAAUUUUUAACUUUUGUUUAAGAAGUACUAUACAAAAACAAAGUAUGCCAAUAUUGGUGACUUUUCUCUACGCAUACAUAAUAAAAAACCUUUUGUAUUUAUAUUAAAUUUGAUAAGUGUUAAAAAUUUUGUGUUAAAUUCUUAAUAUAAGUGUUAAUUUAAUAUAAGUGUUAAAACAUAAUGUGAUUGUGUCAUUUGAAUAGUUUGUUAUAUUGAUUUUCAUCAAUAACGUUAAAAUAACAAUUGUUGAUUAAAACAUUAUUGAAAUAACAGCAUAAAUAAACAAAUAACAUAAGAAUUUAGUUUUGAAGUAUAAACUAUAAGAGAUAAAUAAAAUGUAUACAUUAACAUAAUAUAAAUGUAAAAAGUAAGGCCAAAAAUUUUGAAGCCCAAAAUUUCGAAUCUAAGAUGUGGACUAAAUGAUAUUUACGAUGAGACAUUAAUCACAGAAAAAUUUUAAGUUGAGCCUACUUUUCAUUUCGAAGAUAUGAGGAGUUAAAGUAGCCAUUCUUCAUUAAUCCAUUAAGAUCAUUUAUACAAAAAAAUAAACAAUAUAAGUUAUUAAAAUUUGUUCCUAUCCAUGAGUAGACUAGCAAGACUUAGGUAAGCAAUAACAGAAAAAAGAACAAAUAUAUAAAGAAAACAUUUCUGACAUAAAAAAUAUUUUAUCUUUUCAUGAACAAAUUUCAAUAAUUUGUAUUGUUUAUUAUUUUUUACAUAAACAGUAUUAUUUUAAAAAAGUUAUACAUGUGUUUUUUAAUGAUUUAAUUAUUAUUAUAUAAUUCAAAAUAAUUAAAAGUUGUUUUUUUUAAGCGAUAACUCUCCAUCGAUUCAAGUUCAUUGAAGUAUUUGCUUAGAAUUAAGAAUCAUGAAUUCUGAAACAGCUACUUUCGGACUUUCAACGCAGCAACUUAAAAUAAAACUAGAUUCGUAAUCACAAUAUUAUUAAUUUAACCAAGUGUAAGAUAUAUGUAUAACUCUCUACCCUGAAAUAUUAAAGAAAAUUUAUUGCAACAAAUAUUAUCUCGAUUUGAAACCUGGAUCUCCCAGCACUUCGUGCGGACAUCUCAGCUAGUUCGAGGCAUUUCAUAAUAUUCCUCGCAAGUUUAAAAUUGUAAUAAGUUAUCUUCAUCUUAUUUAAAAUAUGUAUACAUAUAAUUUAUCAUAUCUUUAUUUAGAUAAUUUUAAGUUAUCUAAGCGUAACACUGCAAAGCACAAAUAAUUAAUACAGCAAUAUAGCUGCACAUAACAACGCUUUGAAAGUUUCUGUUGAGAUUGUAUGUGGGGAAUAAGGGCACAUGGCUCUUUUACAGCCAUGCAGCCUUCUAUAGCUACGUAUUGUGCGCGUUGUAUGCCUUAUGAACAAUAAAGAUGUCCCAAAAA